rnacentral:rRNA from 1 species
UACAGAGGUCUCGAGCGUUGUUCGGAAUUACUGGGCGUAAAGGGCGCGUAGGUGGCCAACUAAGUCAGACGUGAAAUCCCUCGGCUUAACCGGGGAACUGCGUCUGAUACUGGAUGGCUUGAGUUUGGGAGAGGGACGCGGAAUUCCAGGUGUAGCGGUGAAAUGCGUAGAUAUCUGGAGGAACACCGGUGGCGAAGGCGGCGUCCUGGACCAAUACUGACACUGAAACGCGAAAGCCAGGGGAGCAAACGGG